rnacentral:sRNA from 2 species
UAGAAUAGGGUUUCUCAAGGGUGGUCGGUUCAUUCCCCUAUGAAAGGGGGUGAUGCCUAAUGACAGUUUUUCAAGCAUUGAUGUUAGCAUUUUCAUUUGCGAGCUUAAUCGUUGCGGUCCUGUCUUUUCACCAAAAAAAAUAACCCACCCUUGAGCCGGCAAGCAUAAGUAGUGGGUCAUUUCCUCUAUUCGCCGAUCCCCCUGCGGGAACCGUCUAUUGCAGGACCGAACGAACUGUUCGGUCU